rnacentral:rRNA from 1 species
GUCGAGCGGCAGCGGGAAGUAGCUUGCUACUUUGCCGGCGAGCGGCGGACGGGUGAGUAAUGUCUGGGAAACUGCCUGAUGGAGGGGGAUAACUACUGGAAACGGUAGCUAAUACCGCAUGACCUCGAAAGAGCAAAGUGGGGGAUCUUCGGACCUCACGCCAUCGGAUGUGCCCAGAUGGGAUUAGCUAGUAGGUGAGGUAAUGGCUCACCUAGGCGACGAUCCCUAGCUGGUCUGAGAGGAUGACCAGCCACACUGGAACUGAGACACGGUCCAGACUCCUACGGGAGGCAGCAGUGGGGAAUAUUGCACAAUGGGCGCAAGCCUGAUGCAGCCAUGCCGCGUGUGUGAAGAAGGCCUUAGGGUUGUAAAGCACUUUCAGCGAGGAGGAAGGCAUCACACUUAAUACGUGUGGUGAUUGACGUUACUCGCAGAAGAAGCACCGGCUAACUCCGUGCCAGCAGCCGCGGUAAUACGGAGGGUGCAAGCGUUAAUCGGAAUUACUGGGCGUAAAGCGCACGCAGGCGGUUUGUUAAGUCAGAUGUGAAAUCCCCGAGCUUAACUUGGGAACUGCAUUUGAAACUGGCAAGCUAGAGUCUUGUAGAGGGGGGUAGAAUUCCAGGUGUAGCGGUGAAAUGCGUAGAGAUCUGGAGGAAUACCGGUGGGCGAGGGCGGUCCCCCUGGACAAAGACUGACGCUCACGUGCGAAAGCGUGGGGAGCAACAGAUUUAAUACCCUGGGUAGUCCACUCUGUAACGAUGUCGACUUGGUAGGUGUGCCCCUUGAGGCAUGGCCUCCCGGACUAACACGUUAAUUC